rnacentral:rRNA from 1 species
GAUGAACGCUGGCGGCGUGGAUAAGGCAUGCAAGUCACGGGGGCUCUUCGGAGCAACCGGCAAACGGGUUAGUAAUGCAUAGGAAUCUACCGAGAAGUUUGGCAUAGCUUUCCGAAAGGGAAGGUAAUUCCAAAUGGCCUCAUUGAGAAAUCUUUGAGUAAAGGCAAUAGCAAUAUUGCCGCUUCUUGAGGAGCCUGUGUCCUAUCAGCUUGUUGGUGAGGUAAAGGCUCACCAAGGCUAUGACGGGUAGGGGAUGUGAGAGCAUGAUCCCCAACAUUGGGACUGAGACACUGCCCAAACACCUACGGGUGGCUG